rnacentral:tRNA from 1 species
AAGGCUUUGGCUUAAUUAAAGUGUCUGAGUUGCAUUCAGAAGAUGUGGGCUAAAGUCCUGCAAGUCUUAUCAGGGACUAGGAGAUUUUAACUCCUGCUUAAAGCUUUGAAGGCUUUUGGUCUGUUUUAUCCUAAGUCUCUAAGAUGCGAGUGCUAGCAUGGUUGGGGUU